rnacentral:lncRNA from 13 species
AAGGGGCCUGCCUGCUUUUCUGCGUCUCAACAUCCACAGAUUUCCUAAGUUGUGCCAGGCUCUGGGGCACCUAAGUGAAUGUGGGCCCAACAGGUGGGUGUUUACCAGAGACUGAACAAAGAAAGAGGGGUAGGGCAGACUGAAGUCCCGAUAGAGAAAGAGCAAGACAAGGCCAGGAGAUCCUGUCUUGUGUGUGUGUGUGUGUGACAAAGUCUUGCUCUCACCCAGGUUGGAGUGCAGUGGUGCAAUCUUGGUUCAUUGCAACCUCCGCCUCCUGGGUUCUACCAAUUCUUGUGCUUCAGCCUCUGGAGUAGCUGGGACUACAGGUGAGUGCCACCACAGUACGAUCUCGGCUCACUGCAACCUCCACCUCCUGGGUUUAAGUGAUUCUCCUGCCUCAGCCUCCCAAGUAUCUGGGAUUACAGGCAUCGCCAACACAUCGGGCUAAUUUUUAUGUUUUUAGUAGAGAUGGUGUUUUGCCAUGCUGCCCAGGCUGGGCUCAAACUCCUGGCCUCAGGUGAUCCGCCUGCCUCAGCUUCCCAAAAUGCUGGGAUUACAGGCAUGGGCCACUAUGCCCAGCCAUGUGUCUUUUGACUUUAAAGGAGCAGCUUGCAAAUCAUAUUCAGAGCAGUAUGCAUAUGAGAUGUAAAUUGCAUCAGAAAUGAGCAUCUGUUAUUUUGAAGUCAAUAGCUCAGGCACUUUUGUGGGAGCCCUCCCCUGCUUUCUCCCAGGGUUGCCUGGGGUCAGGAUCCCUUGCAAGACCUAUUAACUAAACUUGACAUGUAUCGUGUGCCUCUGCCAAGGCAAACCCAGCUCUGGAUAGGAAGAGGAGUGCUGCUGACCAUGUCAAGACAUUGCCAAAUAUGGGGAAGGAGAGCAAAAUCCCCCCAGGGAAGAACCGCUGCUCAAGACCCUAAGGCUAUGAGCCUUUCAGCAUGGUCUUCCCUUGAGGCCUGGAGUCUCCUGCCUCCGCCCCAGCAUGUGCUGUAAUUCAGUCCCGCCCCCGGAGAUUCUUGAGGACCAAUCAACGUCGCCCCCAGACCGAAUGGCCCCAGCCCGCAGAGCGCGUCAGGUCUGCAGACUGCUCUUGAGCGUCGCUCUGCCUCCUCUUUCCCUGUCAUCCAGCUGGCCCUGUGGGACUGCCGGUUAUAUUCCUAUCUCCGCUGACCCCCAUUCCCUUUGAUUGGCAGCUUCCAGGAGUUAAGGAACUCAG